GGCUGCUGAGAAAAUACAACUCUGGUGUCACUCAGAUGGUGCCUGUCAUUUGUGUCCUUGCAUGGAUGGAAGAAAGGGUUCUCUGAGGGGACUUCUUUUAACAGCAUUCAUUCUAUUCUUGGGUGUUUUGUCAUGUGACCCAAUCAACCCUACUCCCUAAAAGCAUCACGUUAAGAGCUGAAAUUGCAACACUUGGAUUUGGGAAAGAAAAAAAAAAAAACAAAACAAAACAGAAAUAUUUAGACCAUUGCAUGACAUGCCAGGGAACAGGGAGGAGAAAGUAUUGUCGAGAACAGAUUGGAAGGAGGUUUGGGUAAUUCAUUGUUGAGAAAAAACUUAGGAUAUAUAGAGCACAGGGGAGUUUGUUGAAAAUAAAAUAUUUUAAAACACAAAGCAACUGGUAUAGUAUACAAUCAGUUGUGUAGAGAACACAUUUGAGCAAACUUCUCAAUAACAAGUCACCACAAGGAGAGGCAGCUACAGCUGGGUCCGAUUCCCAGGAGUCAUCCUGGAACGGGAAUUCUGAAAACUGAGAGGCAACAUCUGCACGAUGUUUGUCCCAAAAGUAUCCUCAGGGGAGAGGGACCGCACAUGGGAAGGCUUCUGGAGAGCAAAGAAAGACGUGGACCCUUUCAGCUGUUAGAGAAACACAAAACAGGGGUUGGGGGAGGGGGCAUCAUUAUGAGAGUUAACAUUACUUGUUUGGGGAAAGGAACCCUUGAAAAAUAAGAUCAGACAGAAGAAGAAAUCCCACCAAAAUACACAGGAAUGGAAUGAUGAAAUAGGAAGAAUGCCCAAAGGAGUACACAUGGAGAAGAACCCUUGUAGAAACCAUCAGACAUAGUGAGACACGUUUAUACAAACAUUGUGGAAAGACCCAGGUGAUGGUUUCUUGGUUUGGUUUGAGCUAACAUGACCAAAGAAAUGCUGGUAUGAAUUGGGGAGGUCUAGGGCUUGAACCUACAGGGAAGUGCUGAAGGAGAAGAAACAAGUCCACAGGAUAGGAAAAUAGCACUCCUAGGGUGCC
rnacentral:lncRNA from 1 species